GACAUAGGUGGCGAACGUUAUCCGGAUUUAUUGGGCGUAAAGGGUGCGUAGAUGGUAGAAUAAGUUAUUAGCCGAAGGCAGGCUCAACUUGGCGGAAGUUAAUAAUACUGUUUUGCUAGAGAAUGGAAGAGGUUAAUGGAAUUCUAUGUGUAGAGGUGAAAUUCGUUGAUCCAUAGAGGAACACCAAAAAGGCGAAGGCAAUUAACUAUUCCAUUUCUGACAUUGAGGCACGAAAGCGUGGGGAGCAAAACGG
rnacentral:rRNA from 1 species